GAUAGGGUUUGAACUACACAUGUUGCUCCUCUUAUUAUAAAUGCCUAAUCCUUAGCUGAAACUAUUUGUCACAAUAAUAUCCUGUAGUGAAGACUUUUACAAGAUAAUUACAUGGUGAGUAAACAAGGCAGUGUUGUCUUUUAUCUGUUCUAAAUGGGAUGUCUUCUAAUUUUAUCACCUACCUUUUGUUCAUAUAUUAUUGGGCAGGGUAAAUAAGAAUCACUGAACAGCCUUUCUAAAUCAUUUGUUAUUAUCCAUGCUACUAUUUCUAUAAACUAAUGAGCAAUAUUUAGUGCUUACGAUCUUCCCACUUUAUAAACAUCAGCUUUCAUUGUUUCUGCAUUAGGUGGAGGAAAUAUUGAGCCCAGCUUUCCCUUUGAAUGCUUACAAGGUUGCUUGUAAAAUAUUCUUCUGAUGACACAGACUGGAGAGAACUGUGUCUUUAACCUAUUGCAUUUAACCCAGGGAUGCUCACUGCUAGCUGAGGGUGGCCCAAAAUGGAGGCCACAAAUGAACCUCUUCUCUACUCUUCUUUCCUUUUAUCCUCUCCUUUCCUUUCUCCUUUCCCUUCCCUUCCCUCCCCUCCUCCCC
rnacentral:lncRNA from 1 species